UUAAAUGUGAGCAUGAUUGGAGAUAUAUAGAUGAGAAUAAGGUCUUGGGGACCCAAUAGGUGGACGACCAUGUUGUCAGCUCCACAAUUGAUUCCUAGUGCAAUGACACGACGACGGAGGAUAUGAAAAUUGAGUAGUUUGGAAUAAGAGUUAUUAGUGUCGAUAGUUGUGGGCAAAGACGGAGCCCAACGCUUGGCAAACAUGGUGAGAACUAAGGAACAAGGCU
rnacentral:lncRNA from 1 species